GAAACCCCUGAGUCUCUCUUCCACACCCCCCCCCCCCCCCCCCCCAAAAAAAAAAAAAAAAAACGAAAUCCCUCUCACCAUCACAGUCUCUCGAUCUCCUUGCUUCUAUUCCCCUGAAAUCCAAAUCCUCUUCAGCGAUGGAGGAGAUAAGAGUGCCCUAGAUCCAUUUUCUCUCUCCUCCAUGCCUUCAAACUAGGGUCAAUUAAAGAGAUGCAGAAGACGAAGCUGUCGGAGACGGCGGAGGCGAAUGCGCUGUGCUGCUGCUAACCUCUUGAUGAUUUGGUGCCGCCGCCGCCGCCGAAGGCGUGAGCUGGUGGGACGACAUCAACGAUUCGACUCAAUGGCAGGACGCCAUCUUCUAUACUCUCUGCGCUGCCUGCGCCCUCGUCUCCUCCGUCGGUCUGUUUUACUGUUAGUGAUGGACAGACGAGGGCUAAAAGCGAUGUUCAACUCACAUCUAAGUUUUUAUGUUAUCUCUGCGAAUAUUCAGAACAUGGCAUUCCAAACAUGCCUGAAAAGUAAGUGAUAACUUCUCUGUAUCUCGGUUUAUUUCUUCUGAAGUAUUGGGUUGAAGAUGAAGAAAUUCAGCUUCUUCAUCUCUCCCAAAUUAACUGCCUUCUUCUUCCUCCGUUGGUGUCUCUGGAAACAAAGUAAUGUUAUUCAUGGUGGUUUCGGAAUAUUCGUCUCCAGGUAACGUAAAAAUAGUUGCUUUGAUUUUAAUGGAAGUGAAAGUUUAGGGCUUUUGAUGGUUUGGGUGAUUAGUUUGGUGGUUGGGGUUUUAUGAAGAGGCUCUGGGUUUUGUGCUUGUUUGGAUUUAAUUCAGAAAUAAAUGAUGGGGUUUUACUGUUAAUUAAUUAGAACUAGGCCUAAUGUUGAAGUUAAUUGUUUGUGUUUAAUCUAGACAUGGGCCUUUGUUCCUGUGCUGAGUAGCUUUAAAUUCUUAGUGUUAUGAACUUGUUAUAGGCUCUACUUUAAGAUCUACGUUUAGAACUCAUUUCGUGAUUUUAAUACCAAUACUUGAUUACUUGGGAAGAAUGUUGUAUAAUAAGGCUCAGAUGCUAGGUUGCAGUAGGAAGUUGUACGUUUGGAUAUUGAAGUUAGAACUUGUAUUCGUUUCUUUUAACAAUCUUUGAUGAAAUUCUUAAUGCACUUAAUUUCCAGUUUUCUCAAAAAUUGCUGUAAACUCUGAUAGAUAUGGCCUACCUAUGCUUUGUUCUGUUUGAUAUAUUGGUGACAAGCUUUUGAUUGGUAUUGUUGUUAGUCUGUUUAAGAUUAAGUUUUGCUGAUGUUUGAAUGCACAGGAGGAAUAUGAUACCCAUGAUCCGACAGGACAUUGUGCCAUGGUUCUGCCUUUUCUGCGAAAGAGGUCGAAAAUUAUUGAAAUUGUGGCAGCACAUGACAUUGUGUUCGCACUUGCGCAGUCUGGUGUUUGUGCAGCGUUUAGCCGAGGUAGUAGCUGUUCUAUUUGGAUUUUCAAUGUUGUAUGGAUUUACUAAAAUAAGUUUUUACUUGGAGAAGUUCAUGGAUGGGAAUAUGAAUAUGUAGAACUUUUGUUGUUAGAUGCAGAAACCAAUCAGAGGAUAUGCUUUCUGAAUGUCAAUCUCGACGAAGUUAUAAGAAGCCUAUUUUAUAAUAAAAACAAUGACUCACUUAUCACAGUUUCAGUUUAUGCUUCAGACAAUUUCAGUUCUUUGAAAUGUAGAAGCAUAAGGAUUAAGUAAGUGAAUACAUCCACCCCUCUGCCCACAACAAACAAACAUAGACACACACAUAAUCCACCAUAAGCAAUAAUGUAUUUAACCCAAUUUACAUCAGUUUAUUAUUGCUUGCUAAAGACACUAUCAAUAUAUUUCAUCAGUUUACAUCAGUUUAUUAUUCCACCAUAUAUUUCCUACUAUUUUUUAUCUGUGAUUUGUUGCCGUGGAUUGGAAUAUUGCAGCUCAAGAAAGCAACCACAAUCUCCUAAAAGCUGAGCUGAGAGGUACACACCAAGAUUGAAAUGGGGGGAAAGGAAUUGUAUUAAAGAUUUCAUCUUUAGUAAUUUUACUAAUAUCCCAUCAGCUAAACUGAGUUUCAGGAAUGUGUGAGCUGUUUUUUUAGUUGGGUAGUAUGAAUGGAAGCUAUAGCAAUGCAAAUGUGAGCUCAAACUCGAGUUUGAAUAGCAGCUCUCAUGAUACCGAGGAUGACCUGACCAUUGCAACUGUUUUGGCAGAAGAGGAAAAGCAGAAAAAUGAUGGCAAGCUGGGGAAAAGACUCUCCCACUUAGAUUUGAUUCCGCACACUCUCAGGGUGAAUGGGGAGAUACCUGACGUGAAUGAUGCUACUCAAGACCAUAAGAGGCUUUCAGAAAGGUUGAGACUGAAGUGUAAAAGUUGGAGCAGCUCAAGUCAAGUACGCUCAAAGAGAUCAUUCUGAAAAAGAAGUUAAAACUGGGGGACAAGCUGCUGGAUGCUCCACUCGACACAUUAGGUGCUGCUGUCUUGGCACUACACUAUGCAAGUAUGAGAGAACUUUAGUGGCAAAAUUUCUCUCAAUCACAUUUGAUUGUAUCAGCUUUUGCUAUCUUUCAAUGUAAUUAGCUAGAAUGCAGUAGCCAUUAAACUAGCUAGAAUGCCUUUUGUACGGUAUGGAUACAAGAAUGUAUAUAUGAUUGACAAAUGCUAGCUCCUUUGGUACAUUAGAUGGUUGAAUUAGAAUAUUUCAAUGCCUAAAUCUUAUAUUAAGCAUUAUUUUUGUGCAAA